CUGGCGGCAGGCCUAACACAUGCAAGUCGAGCGCACCUUCGGGUGAGCGGCGGACGGGUUAGUAACGCGUGGGAACGUACCCUUUUCUACGGAAUAGCCUUUGGAAACGAAGAGUAAUACCGUAUACGCCCUUUGGGGGAAAGAUUUAUCGGAGAAGGAUCGGCCCGCGUUAGAUUAGAUAGUUGGUGGGGUAACGGCCUACCAAGUCUACGAUCUAUAGCUGGUUUUAGAGGAUGAUCAGCAACACUGGGACUGAGACACGGCCCAGACUCCUACGGGAGGCAGCAGUGGGGAAUCUUAGACAAUGGGCGCAAGCCUGAUCUAGCCAUGCCGCGUGAGUGAUGAAGGCCUUAGGGUCGUAAAGCUCUUUCGCCUGUGAUGAUAAUGACAGUAGCAGGUAAAGAAACCCCGGCUAACUCCGUGCCAGCAGCCGCGGUAAUACGGAGGGGGUUAGCGUUGUUCGGAAUUACUGGGCGUAAAGCGCACGUAGGCGGAUUGGAAAGUUGGGGGUGAAAUCCCGGGGCUCAACCCCGGAACUGCCUCCAAAACUAU
rnacentral:rRNA from 1 species